rnacentral:rRNA from 1 species
GGGAAUCUACCGUGCCCUGCGGAAUAGCUCCGGGAAACUGGAAUUAAUACCGCAUACGCCCUACGGGGGAAAGAUUUAUCGGGGUAUGAUGAGCCCGCGUUGGAUUAGCUAGUUGGUGGGGUAAAGGCCUACCAAGGCGACGAUCCAUAGCUGGUCUGAGAGGAUGAUCAGCCACAUUGGGACUGAGACACGGCCCAAACUCCUACGGGAGGCAGCAGUGGGGAAUAUUGGACAAUGGGCGCAAGCCUGAUCCAGCCAUGCCGCGUGAGUGAUGAAGGCCUUAGGGUUGUAAAGCUCUUUCACCGGAGAAGAUAAUGACGGUAUCCGGAGAAGAAGCCCCGGCUAACUUCGUGCCAGCAGCCGCGGUAAUACGAAGGGGGCUAGCGUUGUUCGGAAUUACUGGGCGUAAAGCGCACGUAGGCGGGUAUUUAAGUCAGGGGUGAAAUCCCAGAGCUCAACUCUGGAACUGCCUUUGAUACUGGGUAUCUUGAGUAUGGAAGAGGUAAGUGGAAUUGCGAGU